UUUGGAUCAGUGAUGUUACUGAGAAACUGCGUUAUCUAUCUGUAACUUCCUAUAGGAAUUGAAGAUAACCAGAACUUACUGAGAUCUCUU